GACGAACGCUGGCGGCGUGCUUAACACAUGCAAGUCGAACGGAGUGGCGAACGGGUGAGUAACACGUGGGUGACCUUCCCUGCACUUCGGGAUAAGCCUGGGCAACUGGGACUAAUACCGGAUAGUGUGGGAUGGGCCCGCGGCCUAUCAGCAUGUUGGUGGGGUAAUGGCCUACCAAGGCGGCGACGGGUAGCCGGCCUGGGAGGGGGGACGGCCACAUUGGGACUGAGACACGGCCCAUACGGCUACGGGAGGCAGCAGUGGGGAAGAUAGCACAAUGGGCGGAAGCCGGAUGGAGCGACGCCGCGUGGGGGAUGACGGUCGUCGGGUUGUAAACUCCUUUCACCAUAGACGCGGUAGAUGAAGAAGAAGCACCGGCUAACUACGUGCCAGCAGCCGCGGUAAUUC
rnacentral:rRNA from 1 species